rnacentral:tRNA from 1 species
GUCGUGAUAGGUCCCAAGUGU